CAUCCCCGACCCCGUCGUCUCCUUCGCGAACCCUGCCUGAAACCCUCGACAAACAACAGAAAUGGAAACCAUGCCAAAUCUCUCACCCAAACACCAAAUCAAACCUACGCUUGAAGCAAAGUACACCAAAAUUCACCCAAAUUCGUUCAUUUCUGCGGAUUCAAAGCACUACACAGAUAAAUAGAAGGCUUCUACAACAAUUAGUUCACGGCAGAAAUAGAGUCUUCAAUCCUAGAUUAGGAAAGAUCCCACUCCAUCAGGAUAUUUUCCAAAAACGCACAAGGAUUUCGAAUCUAAAAAGGAAAACACAACAACGAAAGGAAGUUCAGGCCCUAAAAUACUUUUGAAGAAGAGAUAAGUAUUUGAUAUUUCUUACGAACUAAGUACAGAAAUGCAAUAAGUUGUAAUAGUUUAGAGCUAAAUAUCUGAUUUUUAAUAGCAAACAAAACACAAUUGUGUGCUAUUUAAGUUCUAUUCAGUUUACGUUUACAACCCUCAUAUCUACAUUGUGCUAUUUAAUACCAUAUGUUGGAAACAUGACUAUUAAAUAUCAUUUUCAACUUAAACUGCAGUGUGAAUAUUAACUGUUAUGCCAUUUUUAAUCAUACAUACACCAGUUUGUUAAAUACGGUUAAGAUUAGUGGUAUGAUGUUUUGAUAUUAAAUAGGUAUCAUGCUGGUAUGAUGUUUUGAUAUUAAAUAGGUAUCAUGCUGGAAAUGGACACACUGUGUUAAUCUGGCUUUCAUUGCAUUGAAGAUGACAAAUUAAAAUUAUUUUCAGGAAGCCAUUAUCUGUUGUUGUACUUGAUAGGCCUUCCAGAUUGAGAGUUACAGUACAUUUCAUGACUUGAAUCAUAAACUCUUAAUUAGGCAAUGUUUUUGCAGAACUUAAAGCCUGUACAUGGUAUGAUAAAACAACCAUAAUAACAUAGCUUGACUUACCUGAUUAGCUUGUCGUAUAGCUAUUCUCGAUCCCAAAUAUCCAUUUGACUGUCUUGGUUAACACUUUUCAAAUAUCCAUUGUUGAUGCAGAUUAAGAGAGAAAGAACACAUACCUCUUCGUCGUGGAAGACGACUUCUUUACUCUUUAUUUUGGACUAACCUUUUCUUUCCAUGACCAAGUAUGUAGGAAUGACCUUUAGCUUCACAGCACUCCUCCUGUACUUGAAGGAAGGUUGAUAACUCAUUCGCAAAACAGGACAAACCCAUACUGGAAUGCAAGUCUGAUAAUCAAAAGAAAUUUUAUUCUUUUGCGAAUUCGAUAGUUCAACAUGUAAUAUAUAGUCUGUAAUAUAAGUCUAACACUCAAAGAGUUCUGGAUGUACAUUAAUUCUCUUCUUAGUUCCCGAUAAAAGUCCCCUCGAUUCUCGAAUUGUUUUUACCGAUUCGACUUCCUAAACAAA